rnacentral:rRNA from 1 species
AUACGUAGGGGGCAAGCGUUAUCCAGAUUUACUGGGUGUAAAGGGAGCGUAGGUGGCAUAGCAAGUCAGAUGUGAAAGCCCGGGGCUUAACCUCGGGACUGCAUUUGAAACUGCUAAGCUAGAGUACAGGAGAGGCAAGUGGAAUUCCUAGUGUAGCGGUGAAAUGCGUAGAUAUUAGGAGGAACACCAGUGGCGGAGGCGGCUUGCUGGACUGUUACUGACACUGAGGCUCGAAAGCGUGGGGAGC